rnacentral:rRNA from 1 species
GAACGGGUGAGUAACACGUGAGUAACCUGCCCCUGAUUUCGGGAUAAGCCUGGGAAACUGGGUCUAAUACCGGAUACGACCAAUCCUCGCAUGAGGGUUGGUGGAAAGUUUUUCGAUCGGGGAUGGGCUCGCGGCCUAUCAGCUUGUUGGUGGGGUAAUGGCCUACCAAGGCGACGACGGGUAGCCGGCCUGAGAGGGCGACCGGCCACACUGGGACUGAGACACGGCCCAGACUCCUACGGGAGGCAGCAGUGGGGAAUAUUGCACAAUGGGGGAAACCCUGAUGCAGCGACGCAGCGUGCGGGAUGACGGCCUUCGGGUUGUAAACCGCUUUCAGCAGGGAAGAAGCGAAAGUGACGGUACCUGCAGAAGAAGUACCGGCUAACUACGUGCCAGCAGCCGCGGUAAUACGUAGGGUACGAGCGUUGUCCGGAAUUAUUGGGCGUAAAGAGCUCGUAGGUGGUUGGUCACGUCUGCUGUGGAAACGCAACGCUUAACGUUGCGCGUGCAGUGGGUACGGGCUGACUAGAGUGCAGUAGGGGAGUCUGGAAUUCCUGGUGUAGCGGUGAAAUGCGCAGAUAUCAGGAGGAACACCGGUGGCGAAGGCGGGACUCUGGGCUGUAACUGACACUGAGGAGCGAAAGCAUGGGGAGCGAACAGGAUUAGAUACCCUGGUAGUCCAUGCCGUAAACGUUGGGCACUAGGUGUGGGGGACAUUCCACGUUCUCCGCGCCGUAGCUAACGCAUUAAGUGCCCCGCCUGGGGAGUACGGUCGCAAGGCUAAAACUCAAAGGAAUUGACGGGGGCCCGCACAAGCGGCGGAGCAUGCGGAUUAAUUCGAUGCAACGCGAAGAACCUUACCAAGGCUUGACAUACACUGGACCGUUCUGGAAACAGUUCUUCUCUUUGGAGCUGGUGUACAGGUGGUGCAUGGUUGUCGUCAGCUCGUGUCGUGAGAUGUUGGGUUAAGUCCCGCAACGAGCGCAACCCUCGUUCUAUGUUGCCAGCACGUGAUGGUGGGAACUCAUAGGAGACUGCCGGGGUCAACUCGGAGGAAGGUGGGGAUGACGUCAAAUCAUCAUGCCCUUUAUGUCUUGGGCUUCACGCAUGCUACAAUGGC